rnacentral:lncRNA from 1 species
CAGGAUCAAAUCCUCUGCUUACCAACCAGUGAGUAGUAGAGGAUUCAGUUCUGUGGGUUUCUGCUUCUGCAGCAUGUUCGCGGUAGGGAAAACUCUGGCAAAGCAGAUCCCUGCAGCUUUCCUGCCCAAUGUCCCCUGACAGUUCUGGAUCGCUAUGGGUGGCCUGAGCAUAGAGAUCCAGGGCUGUUUCUAUCCAAUUUAGUCAAAGCCCAGAUCUCCCCCACACCUGAAUCAACCUGAUUUGGCCUGGGCUUCAGGCUUCAGGCAAAUACGGUGCACAGCUUUUGUUAAUCUUGUGUCUUCCUGUUCAAAUCCCAUUGAAAUAUAGUCCACUAGCUUGAGGGUGGCACUGUGGUCUAAACCACUGAACCUCUUGGCUUGCUGAUUGGAAGGUCAGCGGUUUGAAUCCACGCGACGGGGUGAGCUCCUGUUGCUCUGUCCCACCUCCUGCCAACCUAACAGUUUGCAAGCACACUAACGCAAGUAGAUAAAUAGCUACCACUGUGAUGGGAAGCUAAACGGUGUUUCAAUGCUGUUAAGUUGUGGGUGAACAUAUCAGACAACACAGCGAUUCUUCAAACAGCUCUUGUUUAUUCAGAGGCCAGAACAGAACUGAACUGAAGGGUUCAGCCAGCCUGCUUAUAUAGAGCUCCAGUACAACGUAACUGUAACAACUUUCUGUAACUAUCCAAUCACUGAAUGUCACUUUUGAUCCCUUAUUUGCAUAUGUGGACUUGAACUAUCUACAGUAUCCCCCUGCUGGCCCAGGGUGAGAACUUCAGUACAUAACAAAUGCACUCUGGCACUCGUCAUGGUGUCCCGUUGCACCAAAACCCAUUUAGUCAUGAUGGUGACAUGACCCAGAAAGCUGUCUGUGGACAAACGCCAGCUCCCUCAGCCUGAAGCAAGAUGAGCACCGUAUCCCAUAGUCAAGUUAGAUUGGAUUUAACCCUCCAGGGAUCCUUUACCUUUACCUUUUACUAGCUUGCCCUGAUGCAGUAGUGUACUCUUGUACAACUUGCAUUAAUUUCAGGGAGACUUGUACAGGAGAACCUCCAGGUGUAUUGUGUUUUUGGACAUAAAUGAAUCAGUGAAAUGGCUUCCAUGGGUUAUAUUUCAGUUUGCCUGAGCCUCCUGCCAUAGAAUGAUCCUAAAGGACGGCUUAGCGGUGAGUGAGCGUUUGUCAUACAAAUGAAAUAUUUAAGCUCCUUGUAAGUUCCAAUAAAAGAAACAGUCCCUGCAUUGUAGGAAUGCAGUGUUUUAAUCCCCUUUCUCUAGAAUAUGUAUUUCCCAAGCACUGCGCAUCGACGCAAAACACAUUAGUGCUAAUGUCAGAACUCUUACAAUCCACCUGGCAUUAAAGAGCUGUAAAAUGUUGCCAUGUGGACUUUCUGGACAAUAUCAUUUUAGAAACAACGUGUGCUAUGGAAUUAAUUAACAGGGCCAACAUGUAUAAAACAUACAUUUUUAUUGUUUCUUAUGUACUAUAAAAUUUGCAAGAAAGACGGGCCUGGGAAAGCCAUGCCGUCUUGCAAGGCAUUGUGUUGGAAAGGGCUGGGCAAAAGCAGAUGGAAAGUCUGAAAAUGAAAUGAGAACAGAUGGGGAGUCUGAUGGUGAAAUUCAAACAGGAGUAAUUUGGAAUUUACAUUGCUGAGCUCAGACAUGCAUUUAUGGAGUUCUGAUAAGGAGAAAGAGUUAAAAUGUACCGUAUAGGCUUCACUCUGAUUCAGAAUACCUCACAGAAUCCUUGUGUCUCCACAAUCCAAAAAUCACAUAUAUUCUUGGAUAUGUUGCAAUCAGUGGUGUAGUAGUGAAUUUUGAACUUCAGCAGCUCAUCAUGACCCACAAUCCCAAGAAGUGUCCUAGAAUGUAGGCAGCUAUGUUGAUUCAACACACACACACACAGAGAGAGAGAGAGAGAGAGAGAGAGAGAGAGAGACUUCUCAAAGGGCAUCAGCAUAAUAAUUCAUUAGGGUUAGAUGACAAACUUAGAGUAGAUAUUUAUAGAAUAACGUCAACUUCUAAAAGACGGUUGAGCUUUAACAAAAAGACCUUCAGCCAGCUGAAAUGCAACCCAUUCACUUUCAAUCUUGCAAAAAGUAUUACCAUUUAAACUCCUAGCAUGAAGCAGGACUUCUACCAAAAAAAGGAGGAACAAGUACCUAGCCUUUGCUUGAUUUUUUCCCUUCUAGAAAAACACUGAACUUUAACAAAAAAUACCUUCAGCAAGUUGAUGAAUUACUAGCACUGUGCUAGAUGCUCUAUAUAUUUAAUUGAAUUUUUAUUGCUUCUCUUAUUUCUUAUAUAUUGGAUUGCAAUCCAACUCCAUGUAAAUAAAAUUUAAAAAUAACAUAAAUAUUUAAUGUGAUGGAUGUACCUGUCGUGCCCGCCCUGCUUACCUGCCAGGUGGACUACUGGGUUCUAGGGCCCCUUCCACUGGACCCCUUUUUUCACAGCUGCUUCUGCUGUCCUUCCCAGAUGUGCCUCAGACCAUCGGAAUGAAGAUUAUGAGCCACUGGUUGUCUGCAGACCACAUUUUGGGAAUCCCUGCUUUAUGGCAAUACUUAUCCAUACUUCUGGAAGUUGACAAAGGAGUGAUAAUAGCCUGGGAUAGUCAGGUGAUACAGCUUCUUGAUACAGGACCAUUUGGGGAUUGUCUGAACAGGAAAAAUUGAUGAGAGAAAAAGGUUGGGGUCUACCUUCCCACUACUUUCCACAGGCAACAAAGGAUGAUAUAAUCUAGGUGUGUUUGUGGUUAUUCCAGAUGGAGCCUUAAUGAGGCAAAGUGAUCAUUUGGAUAUUGCAAACAGGUAUCUUUCUUUUACUUACCAUGUUUUCCAUGGAAAAGGUACCAUAAAUCUUGUUUAAAUGCCGGGGUGUGGGUGUGUGUAGUUUGGCAUUUGAAUGCCAUUCAUAUUAUGCUUAGCUUGGAAGACUGAGCAACCUGUAUGUGUGGACAGAAUGCAGUUUUUUAAGACAGACGAAGUCACUACUAUUUUGUCUUCUUGUCUGUCUUAACUGUUGAAAUCAAUGGCACCUGCUUUUAAGACAGCCAGGUAGUAUUUUUUUUUUUAAGAUAGACUAGAGAGCAGACAUGUAUAGGAUUGUGCUGUUAGUCUCCAGAUGGCUUGCUUUUAAUGGUUUUAUCUCUUUCAUUACCAUUUUAUUGGCUUGCCCCUCCCUUUUCGUUUCUAGGCUGCUAUUAGUGUUGUGUUGUUGUUUUUUAAAAGGGUAUACACAUCUUGAAAUAAAUAGGCUGAUAAAUAGAUGUCAUUUGUGAUGAUCCCCCUUGGGAGACGAAAUACGGAAUGGCACCACACAAUGUGUCAGUUUAAAUGCAGAUGUAUAAUUAACAGAGAACUCCUACCUUCCUUGGGUGGGGUGGGUUAUGGAAGAGUUUCCACUGCAUCCAGAGAUCUGCUGGCAAAUAGUGUUUAGGUUAGGAUGGCAGCUGGUUUAUUGUUUGCCCCCUCCCAUUGUGGCCAAAGGAAGGGAAUUAACUACAGCAACUUCAGGGUUGGCAUAGUUUUAGGUCCUGAGGGGAGCAAGAGAGCAUAGGGUCCUGAGGAACAGUGGGGCUCCCUCCCCCAACUGCCCUUCCUUCCUUCCUUCCUUCCUUCCUUCCUUCCUCUCUACCUCCCCGCCAGUGCAAAGGGAUAUCGGCUGCAUCCUACUGUCCUCUCAGAGCCACCUUCCCAAACUGAAUACUGUUACAGAUUUAAUGGAGGAGAAUCCCCCUGAAUCCUAUAAAUUAACAAAUGCCAGGGUUUUGAUUAAUUGGGAUAUGGAUUAAAGUGUAGCACUGUGCCAGCUAGGGAAUUCAGAGAAUUCCUGGGCUGGCUUAUGCAAACCAGCCUCAAUGGCCCAUCAAAAGGUGUUGAUGACAUGUUUGAGGGUUUCUGGAAAGAAGGAAGAGGAAGAGGCACUGAGAUCCACCUUUGGAGGAGACAUACUGCAGGCUGCUUGCAUUGCUACCUCUUGAAAUGACCAUGCUGUAAGAUCUGGACUCCCUCUAUGCAGACUGAUGGUUUAAAUAGGUGAAUAAACCAUACUUCCUAAAGCCACGGCAGUCCCUAUUAUCCCCAUUAUCCAAAGGGACACAGACCCUGUGUGUCUGCCUGGGACCCCAUGGGCCAGCGGUUCUCAACCUGUGGGUCCCUAGAUGUUGUCGGACUACAACUCCCAUCAUCCUUCAGCUCUGGCUGAAGGGAGUUGUAGUCCAACAACAUCUGGGGACCCACAGGUUGAGAACUGCUGCCAUGGGCUCUUGCCACCGCUUGGCAGAGAGAGGGGCAGGCACAUGGCUUUGGUAACAAUAUGAUUACUCCCUAAAAUACUAAUUGAAAUAUAGCUGUUGUUGAGCAUAGAAACAUACUAUGCUGCCUCAUACUGAGUCAGCAUUGACCCAUCUAGCUUAGCACUACCUACACUGACUGGCAGCAGCUCUCCAGGGUUCUAGGCCGGGUUCUGUUCCAGCCCUACCUGGAAAUGUGAUGGAUGGAACCUGGAGAUUUACCAGGGAUUCAGCCUGACACCUUCUGCAUUCCAAGCAAUUGAUCUAUACUGAUAAUUUUCAUUUUUAGCCUCCAGAAAACAGAAAAGCACCUAAGGAAACAGAUAAAAUCUAAAACUUGGUUUUCUGCUGUGACCCUCAGGUGAGUGGAAUCAUCUAGCUAUUCCAGCUUAGGGAUUGCUAGCCCCAAAUGUAAGGGGAGAUUUGCAAAUCUCCUUCCCCCUGCAGCUACAGACUCAGACUUUAAAUCCAAGGUAAUUUGGUGGGUUUAUUUCAUUACAAAUUAAAUUGUUUAUGAUGCUUUAUGAAACACCCAUUUCAGCGUGCACAAAAAUGGAAUGCUGUAUUUAUGAGGCAAUACAUAUGAGAGGCAGUAUAAUUUUAGUAUUUCAGAGUUAUGGCAUACCAAAAAUAUACCUUUGUCAUUAGGGAAUUGUUACGGCAAGCAAUUGGAAAUAGCCAAAACUGGAAGGUCCUAAUAGCAAAGUAAAGUUUAACAAUGCAUUGUUCUCUGGUGGUCCAGCAAAAAAGAAAAACAAAAAGUGGCUGUCCAUUCAUCCAUUUGUUCUGCUACUGCUUGGUGCAAAUCUCCUCUGAGUGCAUGCUUUGGCAAUGCCCUCCUGCCCCUUGUCUUCCAUUGGAAUAGAAGAAGAAGAAGAGUUUGGAUUUGAUAUCCCGCUUUAUCACUACCCAAAGGAGUCUCAAAGCGGCUAACAUUCUCCUUUCCCUUCCUCCCCCACAACAAACACUCUGUGAGGUGAGUGGGGCUGAGAGACUUCAGAGAAGUGUGACUGGCCCAAGGUCACCCAGCAGCUGCAUGUGGAGGAGCGGAGACGCGAACCCAGUUCACCAGAUUACGAGUCCACCGCUCUUAAUCACUACACCACACUGGCUCUCCACCACACUGGUGGAGUCUGCUCCAGUGCCCCAGAAACUCUGUGCCUGGUGCGACUCACCGGUCAUACUCUCUUAAAGCUGCCUCUGAUCCCUGGCAUCUAGGUUGUGUGGCUUCCCCUGGGCAUCCCCCCACUGCACUCGGGAAACCUACACAAUAGUCUGCACACAGGCUUCUGCGAGAGCUGGGUCCUGCAAAGAUGGAGGGUUUGGGACUGGGGAUACAGUUUUAAUGUUCCUUGAUAUUGUUUUCAGAAGGGAAUGGACAGGAAUGAUGGGAGAUGCAGUCAAACAACAUCUGAAAUUUCAUAGGUUCCCUACCCUGGUUUAUGGUGAAGCAAUCACUCACGUGACAAUGUAAUCUGCACCGGAAUACUCCAGGCUUUGCUGAAGAAGGAUGCAAUCACAAUCCUAGAACAAUGCAAGCCAUCAAGGAUUCCGGUGCCAUUCCUGCCAGAAAUAGAUCCGGUCUCACGAUUCUGCUUUGAUCCUGUAAAGCUGGUGCAGAGAAGUCCAAGAAAUUGCAGGCAAGCCCCAGCGCAGAGUGGCGAUUGCUCUCAUCACUGCUCAGGAUGCCAUUCGUAAAACAUUUUGAGAGGGGUUUCCCUCCCCAACCCUGACAUUGUGAAGACCUAACGACAAUGCGAAAGAUGCAAAGGGAAUGCUUUAUAGCCAACAACGCAGGAACAAACUCAGUUGUGUCAUGGAACCAAACACAAGGAACGUGACUGACUUCAAUAAAAGCAAGCCAC